UUUCAAGUUUCGAAGAGCAAACGGUGGAUGCCUUGGCAUCUGGAGCCGAAGAAGGACGUCGUAAUCUGCGAUAAGCCUCGGGGAGUUGAUAAACGAACUGUGAUCCGAGGAUUUCCGAAUGGGGAAACCCCGCCAGGGCGCGUGCGUGCCUGGUGACUCCCGCCUGAAUAUAUAGGGCGGGUAGAGGGAACGUGGGGAAGUGAAACAUCUCAGUACCCACAGGAAGAGAAAACAACAUGUGAUUCCGGGAGUAGUGGCGAGCGAAACCGGAAGAGGCUAAACCUAGCGUGUGUGAUACCUGGCAGGGGUUGCACGUUGGGGGUUGUGGGACAUGCCGUGAGACGCUGCUGAGUCUCGAGCGUGAGAGUGAAGCUAUAGGAGAACGCCUUGGAAGGGGCGGCCGGAGAGGGUGAGAGCCCCGUAUCUGAAAUGGUUUUACCGCGUGGUGUGUAUCCCAAGUAGCACGGGGCCCGAGAAAUCCCGUGUGAAUCUGUCAGGACCACCUGAUAAGCCUAAAUACUCCCAGAUGACCGAUAGCGGACUAGUACCGUGAGGGAAAGGUGAAAAGUACCCCGGGAGGGGAGUGAAAUAGUACCUGAAACCGUUUGCUUACAAUCCGUUGGAGCACCCUUGUAGGUGUGACAGCGUGCCUUUUGAAGAAUGAGCCUGCGAGUUAGCGAUAUGUGGCGAGGUUAACCCGUGUGGGGUAGCCGUAGCGAAAGCGAGUCUGAAUAGGGCGAUUCAGUCGCAUGUCCUAGACCCGAAGCGAAGUGAUCUAUCCAUGGCCAGGUUGAAGCGACGGUAAGACGUCGUGGAGGACCGAACCCACUUAGGUUGAAAACUGAGGGGAUGAGCUGUGGAUAGGGGUGAAAGGCCAAUCAAACUUCGUGAUAGCUGGUUCUCUCCGAAAUGCAUUUAGGUGCAGCGUUGCGUGUUUCUUGCCGGAGGUAGAGCUACUGGAUGGCCGAUGGGCCCUACAAGGUUACUGACGUCAGCUAAACUCCGAAUGCCGGUAAGUGAGAGCGCAGCAGUGAGACUGUGGGGGAUAAGCUUCAUAGUCGAGAGGGAAACAACCCAGAUCACCAACUAAGGUCCCAAAGCGCGUGCUAAGUGGAAAAGGAUGUGGAGUUGCUGUGACAACCAGGAGGUUGGCUUAGAAGCAGCCACCCUUGAAAGAGUGCGUAAUAGCUCACUGGUCAAGUGAUUCCGCGCCGACAAUGUAACGGGGCUCAAGCACGCCACCGAAGUUGUGGCAUUCGUACUGAGGCAAGCCUUCGUGGUUCAGCCGUAUGGAUGGGUAGGAGAGCGUCGUGUGGCGAGUGAAGCGGCGGAGUGAUCCAGUCGUGGAUGCCACACGAGUGAGAAUGCAGGCAUGAGUAGCGAAAGACGGGUGAGAAACCCGUCCUCCGGAAGACCAAGGGUUCCAGGGUCAAGCUAAUCUGCCCUGGGUAAGUCGGGACCUAAGGCGAGGCCGACAGGCGUAGUCGAUGGACAACGGGUUGAUAUUCCCGUACCGGCGAAGAACCGUCAAACGCUGAUCCAGGAGUGCUAAGCAGGUGAAGCAUCCUUUGAGCCUUCGGGUUCUGUGGGUGUGGAGGUUGCGAACCCGAUCUGGUGAGGUGAGCGUAUUAACAGGUGUGACGCAGGAAGGUAGCUGGUCCCGGGCGAUGGUUGUCCUGGUGCAAGUGCGUAGGCUGAGAGAUAGGCAAAUCCGUCUCUCGUUCGGCUGAGACACGAUGCGGAUAAAAAGUGGGUGAUCCUAUGCUGCCAAGAAAAGCAUCGACGCGAGGUUCUAGCCGCCCGUACCCCAAACCGACUCAGGUGGUCAGGUAGAG
rnacentral:ncRNA from 1 species